rfam:Brassica oleracea var. oleracea cultivar TO1000 chromosome C3, whole genome shotgun sequence
AGAUGAAGGUAGCAUGGUACUGUGCACGUAAACUGAGCUUGUUUGCGGAUUGAUAUGUCUGCCCUCUCUGAGAUUUUUCUUUGAUUAGAGGGCCUGGUUGAGAUCCACAUUC